AACAGUCCCUAUCAGAAAUACAGUUUAGCCUGUCCAAUACACUCAAUAAUUAUAUGCUGGCUAGUUUCAAAUCUAAGACCUAGAUGUCGGAGUCAGAGCUACCAAGUUUGUAUUUUUCAGAAAGUGAAAAGAAGGAAUGGUGGGAUAAAAUAGAGAAAGGAAGUGAGGCCUUUCUAUCAAAAAAUGAGGCCCUUCUAUCAAAAAAAAAAUGAAAAGGUGCUCGAGAUGAAGGCGGGGGCUGAAGAUACAAAGGGGGUUACGAUAAAAGAUGCCCAGUCAUACGUGGUGAAACAAGUAGUGGACAUAUUACAAGAUAAAGGGGAGUUUCAAAAAAAGUUCGAUAUAAAAACUAACGAGGUGUAUGGAAAUGGGUCUCUGAAGCAAGCAAUCACAGUGCCUGGAAAUUUUAACAUUGAUUUGGUUCUGUUCUCAGAGAGUUUUACAACUGAAGAUUAUCUUGCUAACAACGGCUAUCCUGAGAAGCUGGAAGAAAUCAACAAACACAUCAGUGAAAGAAAAACUUAAAGACAACUAUCAACGCAUUGAAAUAAAGAAAACGGAAAAGAAAACAUACACAGAGCUCAUUUUUAACUUCAUGCCCACCAAGGACAAUCGUAUGGAGAGUAUCAGAGUGACUUUAAUGCUUUUUCCAUUCUGGAAGGAUACAUCUACAUGUACUAAAAAGCUCUUUGAUUUGAUUUUGGCACAGGAUUCUUGGGAGAAGAAGCAGCUCCUCUUCCCUGGUGUCAUCAAACUCCAGACACAGUAUAUACGGAAAGUUGACAGAGAUCACAGAGUUUGUCAGAAAAUACACGUCCUAAUUCAGAGGGCAAAAGCAUGGAGAGACAUUCAAACGUGGCCCGAGGACAGUGAUGACUGGGUACUUCAAAGACCUAACUCAUACCUGAUUUCCAUGCUAGUUAUCAAGGCGUACUAUAUUAUAUGAAGUACCAGAGACAGAAAAAGGCAAUAAAUUGAAACCUUAUGCCACCAAGUAAUUAUCAUCUUAAUUUAUCAUUCCUGCUUUACAUUCUAUAUAACAACAGGGUGACCAAAACGUUUAUAAGUAUCGUAAAAAGAUUAGGACAACUUUAUGACUGGGAGUAAGUUUUUACUGUAAUAUAUGUGC